CCCUUAGAUGUCCUGGGCCGCACGCGCGCUACACUGAGUGUCUGAGAUACGAGUCUGCCUGGUCCGGCAAGGUCUAGGUAAUCGCUAAAAGACACAUCAUGCUUGGGAUAGAUUAUUGCAAAUAUUAAUCUUGAACGAGGAAUUCCUAGUAAGCGCAAGUCAACAGCUUGCGUUGAUUACGUCCCUGCCCUUUGUACACACCGCCCGUCGCUACUACUGAUUGGAUGUUUAAGCGAGGUUCUCGAACUGCUAGCGACUUAGCUUCGGUGAGGUCGCAGUGUGGGAAGUGAACCUAGCUUUGGUGUCUAGAGGAAGUAAAGGUCGUAACA
rnacentral:rRNA from 1 species